UACGUAGGGUGCAAGCGUUAUCCGGAAUUAUUGGGCGUAAAGAGCGUGUAGGCGGCUCGAUAAGUCUGCUGUGAAAGUCCAGGGCUCAACCCUGGAAGGCCGGUGGAAACUGUCGGGCUAGAGUCCGGAAGAGGCGAGUGGAAUUCCCGGUGUAGCGGUGAAAUGCGCAGAUACCGGGAGGAACACCAAUGGCGAAGGCAGCUCGCUGGGACGGUACUGACGCUGAGACGCGAAAGCGUGGGGAGCAAACAGGG
rnacentral:rRNA from 1 species